CAAAUACUUUAGGGGUGUCUGUGAAAUAACAGGCUGAGAUUUUACCCUUGGAACCUGAUCUAGUUCAUACUAGCGUAGGGAAAAGUAAGUGUACCAUU
rnacentral:ncRNA from 1 species